AGUAAAGUAUAAAAGCAGGGCUCUUUCUGGAACUUCACAAAAUCUUCCUCUGAGAUUCUGAAAGCAACAAGCUGAAGAGCACACGUCAGAA